UGCUCUGGAUUAGGCUUUGGCUUAAGGGAAGGUUGUGGCUGGUUUGAUCUUCUAUCCAGUCCACUCAAACUUUCUCCACAUCAGC
ensembl:miRNA